GAUGAACGCUGACAGAAUGCUUAACACAUGCAAGUCUUUGGCGAAUCUGUGCUUGCACAGGCUAGCCAAGGCGGACGGGUGAGUAACGCGUAAAGAACUUGCCCUGCAGACAGGGAUAACAGACGGAAACGACUGAUAACACCUGAUACAGUUGCCGGCACGCAUGUGCCUGGCAAUGAAAAGAGAUGCUGCAGGAGAGCUUUGCGUCCUAUUAGCUUGUUGGUGAGGUGACGGCUCACCAAGGCGAUGAUAGGUAGCCGGCCUGAGAGGGUGAACGGCCACAAGGGGACUGAGAUACGGCCCUUACUCCUACGGGAGGCAGCAGUGGGGAAUAGUGGACAAGGGGGGCAACCCUGAUACAGCAAUUCUGUGUGCACGAAGAAGGUUUUCGGAGUGUAAAGUGCUUUCAGCAGGGAAGAAGAAAGUGACGGUACCUGCAGAAGAAGCGACGGCUAAAUACGUG
rnacentral:rRNA from 1 species